rnacentral:rRNA from 1 species
CUGGCGGCGUGCCUUAACACAUGCAAGUUCGAAACGAUGAAGCUCUAGCUUCGCUAGGUCGGAUUAAGCGGCGAAACGGGUCGAGUAAUACGUCGAGCGAACCUACCUUUGACUCUGGGAUAAGCCUGGGAAAACUGGGUCUAAUACCGGAAUACGAACCAAUCUCCGCAUGGGGUGUUCGGUGGAAAGCGUUAUGGAGUGGUUUUUAGAUGGGCUCACGGCCUAUCAGCUUCGUUGGUGAGGUAAUGGCUUACCAAGGCGACGACGGGUAGCCGGCCUGAGAGGGUGACCGGCCACACUGGGACUGAGACACGGCCCAGACUCCUACGGGAGGCAGCAGUGGGGAAUAUUGCACAAUGGGCGCAAGCCUGAUGCAGCGACGCCGCGUGAGGGAUGACGGCCUUCGGGUUUGUAAACCUCUGUUAGCAUCGAAGAAGCGAAAGUGACGGUAGGUGCAGAGAAAGCGCCCGCUAACUACGUGCCAGCAGCCGCGGUAAUACGUAGGGCGCGAGCGUUGUCCGGAAUUAUUGGGCGUAAAGAGCUUGUAGGCGGUUGGUCGCGUCUGCUGUGAAAGGCUGGGGCUUAACCCUGGUUUUGCAGUGGGUACGGGCUAACUAGAGUGCAGUAGGGGAGACUGGAAUUCCUGGUGUAGCGGUGGAAUGCGCAGAUAUCAGGAGGAACACCGAUGGCGAAGGCAGGUCUCUGGGCUGUAACUGACGCUGAGAAGCGAAAGCAUGGGGAGCGAACAGGAUUAGAUACCCUGGCAGUCCAUGCCGUAAACGUUGGGCACUAGGUGUGGGGGACAUUCCACGUUUUCCGCGCCGUAGCUAACGCAUUAAGUGCCCCGCCUGGGGAGUACGGCCGCAAGGCUAAAACUCAAAGAAAUUGACGGGGGCCCGCACAAGCGGCGGAGCAUGCGGAUUAAUUCGAUGCAACGCGAAGAACCUUACCAAGGCUUGACAUAUACUGGACUGCGUCAGAGAUGGCGUUUCCCUUCGGGGCUGGUAUACAGGUGGUGCAUGGUUGUCGUCAGCUCGUGUCGUGAGAUGUUGGGUUAAGUCCCGCAACGAGCGCAACCCUCGUUCUAUGUUGCCAGCACGUGAUGGUGGGGACUCAUAGGAGACUGCCGGGGUCAACUCGGAGGAAGGUGGGGAUGACGUCAAAUCAUCAUGCCCCUUAUGUCUUGGGCUUCACGCAUGCUACAAUGGCCGGUACAGAGGGUUGCGAUACUGUGAGGUGGAGCUAAUCCCUAAAAGCCGGUCUCAGUUCGGAUUGGGGUCUGCAACUCGACCCCAUGAAGUCGGAGUCGCUAGUAAUCGCAGAUCAGCAACGCUGCGGUGAAUACGUUCCCGGGCCUUGCACACACCGCCCGUC